GUAUGAGUGGUCCUCCUGAAUUUAAAGAUGGACGCCCCUCCGGAGACGAGAGACCACUCCAGGAGAGGUCAAAGGUUACCAGUGCUCAGUCUGCAGAGCAGCAUCAAGCAGACCGGAUCAAGAGGGCUGAGGAGCACACACACGCUUU